AAGAGCCAACCCGUUGCCUAGCAAUCAGACACGUCCCGCUUUCUCAGUGGGGGGGCCCUCCGCCCCACCCCCUGCUGCCCUGAGCUGCAUUGCGAGCGGGGUGCUCCGUAGCUGAAGUCACCCGAACAGCUGCCCCCUGGAAGCGCACUCUUCACGUCCCCAGGGGCACCCUUGUGCCGACGCUCCGUGCGUGUGGCUUGGCCAUCCGCUCUCUUCCCCCGCCCGAGCUCGUGACGCUCUCGUCGUCGUCGUCGUCUCUCUGCGCAGGCGCAGAGUCGGAGCGGCGUCGCUCAGCGCCCAGGCAAGGUUUCCGAAAGGAAGGAUUUGAGGUACAGCUGGGGGAAGCAGAACCCAUGGAAUGGACGGUAGAUAUCUAUCUAUCCCAAAAAGGAAGACCAAUGGAAGAAGGGGGCCAAACUGGUGGUGAUGUCUCACCCAGAAAUACCCUCGGAGGGAGAGUGGGCUCAACGCCCCUGUUGCAGUACCAUAGGUCGCAGUGUGAGGAGGCCCACGAGAAAACCCACAGAUUUCAAACAGUUUGGAGUGAAUCCCCGAUGGUGAACUCUCUUGCAACACCUGAGUUGAGGGACUGUUAUGUAGAAUGCAGGGAAAAUGAGGGAUCUGUUGGUCCAACUGAAGUUGCUGUUCCUGGUUCUCCAGUGUUUGAAAAAAAA